GCUCCAGUGGUUGAGGUGGUAAGACAUCGGGACUGGAGAUUCCGGUGGUGCCAGGUUCGAAUCCUGGGUGGGGUG
rfam:Solenopsis invicta Si_gnG.contig75591, whole genome shotgun sequence.